CAGUAGCCGCGGUAAUACGAAGGGUGCAAGCGUUAAUCGGAAUUACUGGGCGUAAAGCGCGCGUAGGUGGUUUGGUAAGAUGGAUGUGAAAUCCCCGGGCUCAACCUGGGAACUGCAUCCAUAACUGCCUGACUAGAGUACGGUAGAGGGUGGUGGAAUUUCCUGUGUAGCGGUGAAAUGCGUAGAUAUAGGAAGGAACACCAGUGGCGAAGGCGACCACCUGGACUGAUACUGACACUGAGGUGCGAAAGCGUGGGGAGCAAACAGGAUUAGAUACCCGCGUAGUCCCUGUCUUUAUACA
rnacentral:rRNA from 1 species